rnacentral:lncRNA from 1 species
CAACAUAAAAAUAGAAAACCUACAUUAAACAUAUGUAAGAUUGCCAUUUUUCACUAAAAAAAGACGAUUUAUCUCCAUAAUGUAAAAUUACUAUUUUGCAAAAAAAACAUUAUAUAUAAUUUCGAAAAUAAUAAAUAAUAUGUAAACAUACAACAUAAAAAAAAAUGGAAAUACUACAUUAAACAUAUUUAAGACUACCAUUUUAUAUUUAAGAAUAACAAUAAUAUGUAAACAUACAACAUAAAAAAAUGGAAAAACUACAUUAAAUAUAUGUAAGAUUUCCAUUUUUCACUAAAAAAAAGCGGCUUAUCUCCAUAAUGUAACAUUACCAUUUUAUAAAAAAAGAAAAAAAACAUAAAUAUAACUAUUUGACUAUUUGUCCAAGUUCUUCUAUUAAACAUUGCCGUUUUACAUUAAUAAUGUAAAAAUACAUUAAGAUUUAAACAUCUAUCUUAAAAUAUAAAAUAUAGAUAUUAACUAAAUAUAAAGUAUAAGAAAGAGAAAUACUCAAUAUAUAUAAAAAUAAAUAAUAAGUAAAUAUUAUAAAUAUAUAAAUAUACGAAUUAUAUAUACAAUAAUAAGUACAUGCACAAUUUUUAAAAAAUGGAAAGAGUACUUACUAAUAAAAGGGACCUUUGGAGGCUCCAUAGAGCGUCCACAUCAGC